rnacentral:rRNA from 1 species
AGAGUUUGAUCAUGGCUCAGGAUGAACGCUGGCGGCGUGCCUAAUACAUGCAAGUCGAACGCACCGCAAGGUGAGUGGCGAACGGGUGAGUAGGACAUAAGUAACCUGGCCUGGCGAGGGGGACAACUGCUGGAAACGGCAGCUAAGACCGCAUAGGCCUGCGGACCGCAUGGACCGGAGGUUAAAUAUCCCAAGGGAUAGCGCGAGGAUGGACUUAUGGCGCAUUAGCUGGUUGGCGGGGUAGAGGCCCACCAAGGCGACGAUGCGUAGCCGACCUGAGAGGGUGGACGGCCACACUGGGACUGAGACACGGCCCAGACUCCUACGGGAGGCAGCAGUAGGGAAUUUUCGGCAAUGGGCGGAAGCCUGACCGAGCAACGCCGCGUGAAGGAAGAAGUGCUUCGGCAUGUAAACUUCUGUUAUAAAGGAAGAACGGCGGAUGGAGGGAAUGCCAUCCGAGUGACGGUACUUUAUGAGAAAGCCACGGCUAACUACGUGCCAGCAGCCGCGGUAAUACGUAGGUGGCGAGCGUUAUCCGGAAUCAUUGGGCGUAAAGAGGGAGCAGGCGGCACCAGAGGUCUGCGGUGAAAGACCGAAGCUAAACUUCGGUAAGCCGUGGAAACCGGGGAGCUAGAGAGCAGCAGAGGAUCGUGGAAUUCCAUGUGUAGCGGUGAAAUGCGUAGAUAUAUGGAGGAACACCAGUGGCGAAGGCGACGAUCUGGGCUGCAACUGACGCUCAGUCCCGAAAGCGUGGGGAGCAAAUAGGAUUAGAUACCCUGGUAGU